AUGGGCAGAGGGAGCCAGGAGCGGAAAGGAUCGGCGUGCGUGGUUCGGGGACGUGACUGCAAGUGCGCGGAGUGGGAUGCCUUGGGAAGGGCUGGGACGUCUCCACCUGGGCGAGGAGAGAUCCCGGUGAGUGGAGAAGGGAUUUCUCAAGCCCGUGAGCUCCUUGUUGUGCAGUUGGCUGCCACCUUCCUGGACUCGCUGGCUGAUGCCUCCAGGAUCCUCCAGGAGGGUCCCGACCUGCUGCAGCGAUGGCACCGCGAGGAGGAAGCUCAUGAACAGAGGGUUCCUGCAGUGCCUCGCAUCCCACCGCUGCAGGGAGGGACGGGGAACCAAGGGAAAACCCCACCUAACUCCUGUACACCUCCGGUACCCCAAACACCCCCAGCAGGACCACAGCGCUCAGAGAGAUCUGAGCAAGCCACAGCUCCAAAAUGCUGGGUGCACGAAGGGGGCAGGAGGCAGGUCGGAGCUGGCCGGACCCUGCUUUCAGCAGGUUUUUGAGGUUGGGCUCUGCUCAUGGAGCAGGGCUUGGCCCUUGCUGCUCAACCACAGGGCACCGCGUGUGUGUGGAGCCCCCAGGACUGUGACCAUCUCCGGGCCAGGCAGCCCUGCUGCUGCUUUCUUGCACUGUAAAAAAAAUUAAAAAAGAAGACUGUCUGUAAUUGUCUCCCGUUAACAUCACCCCCACCCCUCGCGCUGUUGAAAAUAAACUCUCCUUUUUGCAAAAGCGAAGCCGUGUCAUCUGCUGCGCUCUCUGGACGGAGGAGGUGCCGGGCCCACAACGCCCCCAGCCGCAGGGGGAGCAGCCCAGCCCGAGCUGCGUGGUGCCCGAGCGAUCUUUAUUUGGUCUGCGCCCUGUCUGGGAAGCGGCCGCUAAACCCAAGGCAAACAGGCCCUGUGAAAGAGGAUAAUGAAUAUGUCUCCAAAACGAUUUGGAGCCCUUCUGCUUGCGGAGCGGGGUUCCCCAUUGUGCCCGGCUCCCGGCGUGCUCUCGGCGGAGCGCGCGAGGUGGCUGCUUUCCCAGCUGAAACCCUAAAAAAAAAAGAAAAAAAAAAAAGAAAAAAAAAAAAGCAAACAAUGGGUCAAGGCCCGCAUUGUGCGCGCCCAGGCAGGCAGAAGGAGCGCAGCCCGGCAUGGCCAAGUUCAAGGCUGGGCAGGGGGCCGGGCGCGCGGGGAUGCUAAUGGGGCUGCCGAGCCUCGGGGCCGGGAGCAGGGGGGCCGGGGGCUCUGCGUGUCCUCGUCCUGCGUGGCCACCAGCGCCCCAAAAACUCCUCGUGGGGAGCACUGGGGGUGGGUGCCCAGGGGAGCAAGGGGAGCUGCUGGUACUCGGAGCGGGGUGGGUUAUCGGGGUGCUGGUGUUACUGGGAGGGGGUGUUACGAGCUGGGUCUUGGGUUAGAGGGGGAACUGGGGUCGCUGGUGGGUUGUACUGGGGAAACUGGUGCUGCGGGGAGAAGGGGAAUGGAAAGAGAGGCGAUGGCUGCAGGCAGCCCGUGUGCAGUGCCUGGCAGGGGCAUCCUGCGGGGUGGGGGCGGCUUUGGGAUCCCUGCAGAGGACGAGGCUCGGCCGCUCUGAGGACGCAGCCCAGCGGCAGCCGGAGCCCCCCCGGCNNNNNNNNNNGUGGAAAAACACCAUGGAGGGCCCGCACAAAGGGGGUUUUAUUCAAAUUUGUUUAGAGUUUAGCGGAUUUGCAUGAAAAAUGUGUGAGAAAAGCCGGCUCCAAUGACCUCAUCCCCAGCUGCCAUUAAUGUUCAAUUAAGUGCUGAAUAGCGGCAAAGGGGGGACCGGCCGGGACGUGCAGAGAAUCCAGGCUCGGGCGCAGACUGUGAGAACCGGGCGGCCCCCCCCCGGCCGUCUGGCCCCGGCCAGCCCCGACGGGGUCCCCCCCCCCNNNNNNNNNNNNNNNNNNNNNNNNNNNNNNNNNNNNNNNNNNNNNNNNNNNNNNNNNNNNNNNNNNNNNNNNNCCCGCCGCCCCCCUGGCAGCGGCGCUCCGGGAGCUGCGCUCAGCCCGACGGGGCCCCCUCCGGGUCACCCCCCCCUCCCCCGAGGUUUAAAAUAAUGGGGACCCCUCCUCCUGGGGGGGGGAUGUCUGGGUGUCUGGGUGCUGCUGGCUCUCCCCUGCAGCCCCCGUUGUGGGGGGGACACACACAGAGCCCCCACCGCCCGUCCCGGCCGGGCCAGAGCCGCUCUCCGCCUCGCAGCCGGUGUCAAAGCCCAAGUUCAAGUCCACGCCGAGGGGGCUCUGCCCCGGGAUUCCCAGCUCCUUCCCAUCCUCCGCCUUUUGUUCGCCUCUGACAAUUGCUCUUUAUUUCUUACACACCCCCCAGCCUCCCCCCCGCGAGNNNNNNNNNNNNNNNNNNNNNNNNNNNNNNNNNNNNNNNNNNNNNNNNNNNNNNNNNNNNNNNNNNGGCCCCCCCCAAGGCCCCUGCGCCCCCGGGACGGCCCUCGGGAAAGGGACCCCCCCAAAAAAAAAAAAAAAAAUUGAAUCCCCGGGAGCUGCCUCUGCGACAGGGCGCGCCGGGACGGGCAAGUUUGGGGCUGUGUCACUGCACCCCCAGCACCCCCAAAAAAAAAAAAGAUACAAAGAUCCUUUCCCAGGGCUUGCUGUGGGGUUGUAGUGGCCGUGGGUGCCCCCCCAGGAGUGCCCCCCCCACACCCCUUCCCCCCGCAGGGGUGUGCGGCCGGGCCGGGGUGCGGGGAUGCUCGGCGCUGCCUGGCGGGGGGAGGUGGGGAGGCCGAGGGGGACUUCCCCAAACUUCCUCCGCCCCCCUCGGGAGGGGAACACCCACCUCGGAGCGGGCCCGGUGGGCUCGGGGGGGACCCCGGCGAGCCGGCACCCCCGGCGGCUUCCCACCUGCAGCCGGGGAGCGCCGGUAAAACCCGGCCCGCUGCCGUCGGGGCGCUGGGGAAGGGGGGCGCAGGGGGAGCAGAGGGCUCCCGGUGGGCAAACCCCACCCCCGGGGCCUCCUCCGCCCCCCCCCGGGGGGGCAGCUGGGCCCCUCGGGGCGCCGUAGGGCCGGGGUGCCCGUGGGGAGCGCGGUUUAACGGGGGGGGGGUCGCACUUGGGGAUAUAGGGGGGGACAGCGGCGGAUCCGGGGUGCCCAGCCCCGGGCUUGGCACCUGAGCUGGGGGGGCACAGCUCCUGCGGCCGUGCCCUCCUCACGGGGGGGGGUUCAACCCACGCAGGACACCCCACGCGUGCCGGCACCGCGCUGGGAUGCGCCGGGGGGGAGCGGGGUCGGAGCGGGGCCGCGGGGCCGCGGCUGCCCCCAGGCCUCGGGCACGGGCGGGCAGAUUUGGUUUUGCGCUUAUUUUAUUUUAUUUUUUUAUUAUUAUUAUUUCUUUGAAGACAAAUUUGGGGGAAGGGGGUGGAACGAAGCUUCCCCCCCCGCGGUUAAAAUAGAGAUAAGGCAAGGCGGGAACGAAAACACCUUAUCUGGGCGGGGAAGGCGAGAUUUGGGGGCAAAAAAAAAAAAAAGAACAAAAAAUAAAAAUAAAAAGGAGAGGUGAGAGGCUGGGAUAUGGUGUGGGAAGGCAGGAGGGGGUCCUGAGGAGCCGAGACCCUUCCCCACGCCCUGCGCAGCCCCGCGGGGGCCCUUCCCCGGCUCCCCAGGUCCCCCGUGCGCCUGUUAAAGAUCCACGCGUCCCACGCGUCCCACGCGCCCUCGGGGGCGCCACGAUUCCCCUCGGCGCAACACGAGGGCCGUUUCCCCACGGCCGUUAUCCCCGCAAUCACCCCGGGGGGGUGAUUUUUAUUUUUUUUGGGGGGGGAGCGGCUGGGCACAGCCGGUGCCCAUCCCUCGGUGCGCCCCAAGGCAGGAGCCCCGCGCUCCAAGGCGGCGCACGUUUGAAAAUAGCAGGAUUGGCGCACAUCGGGGCGCGGACACGCCCGCUGAUGUGGGAGAGGCUUUAUUAUCGUUAUUUAUUUUUUUUUCUGUAGCUAUUUAAAAAAAAAUAAAAAUAAAAGCGCCCCGGUGCCUCUAAUUUCCGUCCCAUCCGUGCGCUGCCUGGCGAGCCUCCCCCCAUUCUCCGCCGCCUUGGGGACCCCCACGCGUGUUUGGACCCACGGGGCUGCGUGUCCCAGUGGGAUUUCCUCCCCUUCCCGACCCUGCAGGGAUAAAACCACCUCCGGGACCCCCACCCGAAACCCUGGGGGGGGACCGCGGCCGUGGUGGACCCGCAGCGGGCACGAGGUGCGCGGGGCCGGCGUCGGGAGGCGUCGGAGCCCCUCGGGGCGGGGGGGGCAAAGCGACUUUUCCCCCCGAUCGGUCGGCAAUCAGAAAUCCCCUGCGCAUGGAAACAGCCCUAAUCGGCGGGGGGGGGAGGGAGGGAGGAGAUGGAUGGAGGGGGUGAGGAGAUGGAGGGGGGGAAGGAAGGAUGGAGGGAAGAAGGAGGGAUGGAGGAGGGAUGGAGAGGAGAAGGAGGAAUGGAGGGGGGGAAGGAGGGAUGGAGGAGGGAUGGAAGAGAGAAGGAGGGAUGGAGGGGAGG
rnacentral:lncRNA from 1 species